rnacentral:rRNA from 1 species
AUUGAACGCUGGCGGCAUGCCUUACACAUGCAAGUCGAACGGCAGCGGGCCCUUCGGGGUGCCGGCGAGUGGCGAACGGGUGAGUAAUGCAUCGGAACGUACCCGGGAGAGGGGGAUAACCGGCCGAAAGGCUGGCUAAUACCGCAUGAACUCGGAAGAGCAAAGCGGGGGACCUUCGGGCCUCGCGCUCUCGGAGCGGCCGAUGUCCGAUUAGGCUAGUUGGUGGGGUAAAGGCCCACCAAGGCGACGAUCGGUAGCGGGUCUGAGAGGACGAUCCGCCACACUGGGACUGAGACACGGCCCAGACUCCUACGGGAGGCAGCAGUGGGGAAUCUUGGACAAUGGGCGCAAGCCUGAUCCAGCAAUGCCGCGUGGGUGAAGAAGGCCUUCGGGUUGUAAAGCCCUUUCGGCGGGGAAGAAAUCGGCCAGGCGAAUAGUCUGGCCGGAUGACGGUACCCGCAGAAGAAGCACCGGCUAACUACGUG